UACGGAGGGUGCGAGCGUUGUCCGGAAUCAUUGGGCGUAAAGGGCGCGUAGGUGGCCCGGUCAGUCUUUGGUGAAAGCGCGGGGCUCAACCCUGCGUCGGCCAGGGAUACUGCCGCGGCUCGAGCACUGUAGAGGCAGGCGGAAUUCCGGGUGUAGCGGUGGAAUGCGUAGAUAUCGGAAGGAACAUCAGUGGCGAAAGCGACUUCCUGGACCAAUACUGACGCUCAUGUGCGAAAGCGUGGGGAGCAAACAGG
rnacentral:rRNA from 1 species